rnacentral:rRNA from 1 species
GACAGAGGAUGCAAGCGUUAUCCGGAAUGAUUGGCGUAAAGCGUCUGUAGGUGGCUUUUAAGUCCGCCGUCAAAUCCAGGCUCAACCCUGGACAGGCGGUGGAAACUACCAAGCUGGAGUACGGUAGGGCAGAGGGAAUUUCCGGUGGAGCGGUGAAAUGCGUAGAGAUCGGAAAGAACACCAACGGCGAAAGCACUCUGCUGGGCCGACACUGACACUGAGAGACGAAAGCUAGGGGAGCGAAUGGG